UUUGACCUCAAAUCAGGUAGGACUACCCGCUGAACUUAAGCAUAUCAUAAAACGGAGGAA
rnacentral:rRNA from 1 species